UACAGAGGUCUCAAGCGUUGUUCGGAUUCAUUGGGCGUAAAGGGUGCGUAGGUGGCGCCAUAAGUCAGGUGUGAAAUCUCGGGGCUCAACCCCGAAACUGCACUUGAUACUGUGGUGCUCGAGUACUGGAGAGGAGAUUGGAAUUUACGGUGUAGCAGUGAAAUGCGUAGAUAUCGUAAGGAAGACCAGUGGCGAAGGCGAAUCUCUGGACAGUUACUGACACUGAGGCACGAAGGCCAGGGGAACAAACGGG
rnacentral:rRNA from 1 species